rnacentral:rRNA from 1 species
GCUCGGCCCUAAAUCUAGAUGCUUUCACUACCAAAACAUCCGCCCGAGGACUACGAGCACAAACGCUUAAAACUCUAAGGACUUGGCGGUGCUCCAAACCCACCUAGAGGAGCCUGUUCUGUAAUCGAUAACCCACGAUGCACCUAACCCCUUCUUGCCUGAAGCAGCCUACAUACCGCCGUCCCCAGCCCACCUUCUCUGAGAGCCUUGCAGUGGGCGCAACAACAUCCCGCUAACAAGACAGGUCAAGGUAUAGCCCAUGAAGGGGAAGAAAUGGGCUACAUUUUCUAAAAUAGAAAACCUUAACGAAAGGGGGCUUGAAAUAACCCCCGGAAGGAGGAUUUAGCAGUAAAGAGGGGUAAGAAUACCCUCUUAAACUUGGCCCUGGAGCACGUACAUACCGCCCGUCACCCUCCUCACCGCCACUAAACACCUGUAAUCUAACCCAACAAAAAGAAAAGAUGAGGUAAGUCGUAACAAGGUAAGUGUACUGGAAAGUGCACUUAGUACCAAGGCGUAGCUAUAACCCCA